rnacentral:rRNA from 1 species
UUAAUUGAAGAGUUUGAUCAUGGCUCAGAUUGAACGCUGGCGGCAGGCUUAACACAUGCAAGUCGAGCGGUAGCACAAGGGAGCUUGCUCUCUGGGUGACGAGCGGCGGACGGGUGAGUAAUGUCUGGGAAACUGCCUGAUGGAGGGGGAUAACUACUGGAAACGGUAGCUAAUACCGCAUAACGUCGCAAGACCAAAGAGGGGGACCUUCGGGCCUC